ensembl:lncRNA
AAUUGACUUAGGCGUCUGUGGCAACGCUGACACAGGAUCACGUAUCAGAACAGCCUGUCAGACAAUGGGACAACAAAGACCAAACACUGAGUAUUAUUCGGUGAUGUAUAAUACAGGGCUAUUUCAGGUAGUCGAGUGGUCGAGAUUAACCACCCGCUUUGUCUGAUCGCCAAAAAAACAAACUAGGAUGCAGAGCGGCACACACACUCUUCUCCAAAUAUCAACAGCAUGACUCAGGUGGGCAAGUUGCUUUCUGUUGUCAUAGGCUAGGCCGAAUAUCAUCCUCCAAAUGUCGUAUUGAUGAACAUAACGUUGGGGUUACUUUGCUCACACAGGCGAUCACCAACACCAAUGGGAAUAGUACGUUGUGAUGGUGUGUGUGUGUGUGUGUGUGUGUGUGUGUGUCUCGACUGUAGGACUAUGGCCAAGCUUCCGUUGUGUAUUUCUUAGCAUUGUUGAUAGCCUUAGCUUGAAGGCUAGAGAUCAACUCCAAGCACACCUCAUUUUCGCCAUCUCGGACCAUUAUGUGGAACAGGUCUUACCAAGAGCUCUCCAGGGCUAACUGCACUAUUUGCUUCACGGAGCAUGCAGCCGAAAGUACAAUAGUGUUCGCUAAGGCUGGUGUUUUUAGCCCAAUGCUACAAGGCGAUGCAAAAGGCAAUCAUUCAGUUGCAAUGCGUAUGAUAACGUUGUCGGAUCCGGCAUUUGAAGCGGCGCAAAAUGGCUCAAAGCGCUAUUAUAACGGGACUAGACGUCUCUACCAUGACCGCUAUUUUGUCAGCAGCCGACGCAGUCAACAGGCCGGGGGUGUAUACGAAUAACGUGGUAACGAGCAGAAACGCGAACUCCGAUGCUGUCGUCUAUGCGGUGUUGAGGUUAAAUAUCACGUACCUUGCCACACAGCAGCAGCGGCGUUCGGCGAGAUCCAUCGGGGCUGAAGAAGUUGAAUCUGACGCAGAGAUGUUUGGGUACAAAUUCGGGUGGAAAGGCUGCGGCGGAAACAGGAACUGGGAAAGCUGUAGUCUACUGAAUAGGGUAGUCGCCGCUCUGCCUGUGGUGCUGUGGUGGAUGAGAGUCCAAUGGAGUCAAAGCUGCAGUGCGCACACCAGCGUCAGCUUGUUGUAUUGCAGACUGUCUUGAUAGACGGCCCCCUGGCACCAGGGAUAGGGGGUUUUGUGUCGCCCCAAGAACCAGCUCCCUCACUCCAC